rnacentral:rRNA from 1 species
AUGGGAACGCGAAGAACCUUACCUAGACUUGACAUCUCCUGAAUAGUGUAGAGAUACAUGAAGCCCUUCGGGGCAGGAAGACAGGUGCUGCAUGGCUGUCGUCAGCUCGUGUUGUGAAAUGUUGGGUUAAGUCCCGCAACGAGCGCAACCCCUAUUAUUAGUUGCUAACAUUAAGUUGAGCACUCUAGUGAGACUGCCCGGGUUAACCGGGAGGAAGGUGGGGAUGACGUCAAAUCAUCAUGCCCCUUAUGUCUAGGGCUACACACGUGCUACAAUGGUGGGAACAAAGAGAUGCAAGACCGCGAGGUGGAGCUAAACUCAAAACCCCAUCCCAGUUCGGAUUGUAGGCUGAAACUCGCCUACAUGAAGCUGGAGUUGCUAGUAAUCGCGAAUCAGAAUGUCGCGGUGAAUACGUUCCCGGGUCUUGUACACACCG